rnacentral:rRNA from 1 species
GUGUCAGCAGCCGCGGUAAUACAGAGGUCUCAAGCGUUGUUCGGAAUCACUGGGCGUAAAGGGUGCGUAGGCGGCGGGGAAAGUCAGAUGUGAAAUCCGGAGGCUCAACCUCCGAAUGGCAUCCGAUACUACCUCGCUAGAGAUUUGUAGAGGAGCUUGGAAUUCUCGGUGUAGCAGUGAAAUGCGUAGAUAUCGAGAAGAACGCUCGCAGCGAAGGCGAAGCUCUGGGCAAAUUCUGACGCUGAUGCACGAAGGCUAGGGGAGCAAACGGGAUUAGAUACCCGGGUAGUCC